CGGGGCGUAGCGCAGUCCGGUUAGCGUACUGGUUUGGGACCAGGGGGUCGCAGGUUCGAAUCCUGCCGCCCCGA
rnacentral:tRNA from 1 species